AAAGGGCUUUAAAGCCCAAUAAAUCACAGCUCAGAACUAAAAGUUGGCUUACAAGAGCUGCUCUAUCUUUACAAACCACUUAUAAUUACAACAACCCAAUUCAAUACAACCAGAUCUGUAUAUCCGGGAACCCAACCCUUUGGAGGCAUGUUCAACGCUGUCAAGUAGGGGAGGCAACUCUGAAUCCGGGACCAAAGCUGAAGAAAACGCCAAAGGAAUGAGCUAGGAAAGGUUCCUUCAGAAAGCAAAGAGAAAAUUAGUGAGGAGGAACUGGAACCUCUUCCCGCAAGAGUGAAAUAACUUCAACCGAGAUAGAGCCUAGGUUUCAGCAGUUCCAACAGGUGAUAGGUAGAUCUCUGAUAGCCUCUCAUUCUCUUAUAGCUAUUUGAGGGACUGGAUAUUUAAAGGUUAUACCGGUAACAUCCCCGGAGAUACCAUACCCAUAUGUGCCUAGAGAACAAACAUGUAAAUCCACAAUUGCCUUCUUCACUAUUGGGUUAGACAACGGGGCACCCAAGACACAAAAGAAGGCUUAGAACCUGCAUGCAAUCACACAAAUAGUAGAUCAAUUAGUGACCCUCCCAAUUAUUUAUGCACACUUUCCGCCUGAAGGUUGGGAUGGAAAAA
rnacentral:misc_RNA from 1 species